CUCCCUGCCUGGAUCCGGCCAAGUGCGGGGGACCUUGGCCAGUGUCCUAGAGAGCUGGCGUACCUCCUGGGCCUGACGCGGGCUUCCCGGAUUGCAUAAAGGCUCCUUCUCCUUACAUAGCCAGGGCAAAGGUGCAUGACAACCCUGAGCAAGUCAAAACAACCGUCAGCGGUGGGAAACCUCGGUGAACAAACACCGGGAGAGUGCAUUCCCAGGUGAGUUUCAGGAGGCCUAUGGCCCCUCCUGUACUGGCCUCCACCACCCAGAGCCUUCCAGCAUCAUGUCUUCCCCUUGGAGCAUCUGGAGGCCCCAGACAGCACCCACCUGAUGUUCAGCAGAGGAGGAGACAGAGGCCUGCAGCAGGUGUUUUGUUGGAUCUGACGCUCAGCAGAGGGGGAGACCGAGGCCUGCGGCAGGGUGUUUUGUCGGAUCGAUGCUCAGCAGAGGGGCAGACCGAGGCCUGCGGCAGGGUGUUUUGUCGGAUCGGACGCUGAGCAGAGGGGCAGACUGAGGCCUGCGGCAGGGUGUUUUGUUGGAUGCUGCUCCCUGGCCGGGGAGUGAGAGGGAACCCACCUAGAGGUGCUGGAUGGGGUGCCUGGCCAGCGUGACCUGCAGGCCCCUCAGCUCCUCACAGCCCCUGCCCCCAGCCUUCCUGGGCCCAGAGAUCUCCUUGUUCCCCUAGUCCAGGGACUAGUCCAGAGGCUCAGAUGUCAUGCUUGACCCCACAGGUACAGGGUUAAGGGUGAAGGUGGCUCUCUCUUCAUGUCUUCACCAUGGCUUCUCUGCCUUCCCCCGCUCCUGGUGGCUUAUGUCCUGCCGCUCUUGAUACCCGACUGUGGUCUGUCCUGGGAUGGUUGUGAUGCAUAUGUGCUGUUGUUGUGAACCGUAACACUGAGGUCUGGUCUUACGGUUGGUUUUGAUUGUCCCUUCUGCUCCCUUUUCUUAUUUUAAUAUUUUACCAUUUUCUGUUUUAAUGUAUUUGUUGUCUUUUUGGCUAAAUAUCUUUUCAGUUUUAUUUUACUGUAUAUCUUUUCUGAGUGAUUGCUUAGAGAUUACAAUAUAUUAAACCUAGCCUUUCACAGUUUCUGUAGAUCCUGCUUUGUGACUUCAAGGGAAGUGUGGAAGCGGUGGAAGCACUUAGACCCUGCCUGUGAGUUGUCAUAUAUCAUGUCUGCAAACAUUAAAAAUCUCACCAGAUGA